UACGGAGGGGGCUAGCGUUGUUCGGAAUUACUGGGCGUAAAGCGCACGUAGGCGGCUUUGUAAGUUAGAGGUGAAAGCCCAGGGCUUAACCCUGGAAUUGCCUUUAAGACUGCAUCGCUAGAAUCGUGGAGAGGUGAGUGGAAUUCCGAGUGUAGAGGUGAAAUUCGUAGAUAUUCGGAAGAACACCAGUGGCGAAGGCGACUCACUGGACACGAUUGACGCUGAGGUGGCGAA
rnacentral:rRNA from 1 species